rnacentral:rRNA from 1 species
UACGGAGGGUGCAAGCGUUAUCCGGAUUUAUUGGGUUUAAAGGGUGCGUAGGCGGCUCUUUAAGUCAGUGGUGAAAGCUUGGCGCUUAACGCCAAAAUGUCCGCUGAUACUGGAGAGCUUGAGUCAAGAAGAGGUAAGCAGAAUUCAUGGUGUAGCGGUGAAAUGCGCAGAUAUCAGGAAGAACACCGGUGGCGAAGGCGGCGUUCUGGACUGUAUCUGACACUGAGGAACGAAAGCCAGGGGAGCAAACGGG